AAACUGAAGCCCAGACAAAGGAAAUGGCUUGCCCAGGAUUGCGUGGAUUUCUUUCAUCUUUGCUGUAUCUCAGAGCCCCUGGCUCCUUCAGCUGCCUUGUCUGAGUCUCCUGGCACUCCAGCUGCCUCAGGCUUCCCCAUCAUACCAUCGGCGGUACUAUAGCUCUUCAAUGUCUUUCACAUGUCAAAGGGAGCAGUGCAUUAAAAUAACAGAGAUGGACUAAAGCUUCUGGAACGAAUGCAGGAACUGAACAGGAAAACUGAAAGAAUCCACAGAAGUUUUGAAAGAAGUGGCAGGCUGCAGCCUACUCUGUGAGACAGGCAAAAAACUCACCUCUAGGCAGAAUAGCACUGCACCCAGGAAGGAGAAAACGGCUGCAUAUUCUCAGCUAUCACUACUGCUUACAACACCCUGGCUAACCAGAAGUCCUGUGUCUGUCCACGUGAUAAGUUCACUAUAAUUAUAACCAGCAUUUGAGAAAGUCAGCACGUUAAGCCUAUCUACAACCAAGGAAUCUUGCAGAGUUUACAUCACUCCCCUCCCACUUCUGUCAGAGAUGGUGCUGGUAUUCACUGCUGUGAGUCUUGAAGACAGGAUCGAAGCCAUCAAGCUACAGAUGGUCUUACAAGUGGAACCCCAAAUGAGCUCAACUAACAACUUCUACUGAGGACUGCUGGACCAACCUGCUGGCCCUUUCACUGGCCUAAAGAGUUCCCCUCUGGAGGACACUACAACUG